ACCAGCUUAGUGGCUGAGAAACACUGGCACACUUAAUUAUUUACUUCUCUGUUGUAUCAAUCCACCACUGAAAAUCAAAUGAAACCACUCGACUGAGACCGCCCUGUACAACAAAACUCAAGCUAAAUGUUGUUAAAAGCUCUGAAUGGAUCACAAACAAACAUGUUUCUGUUCCAGAAGCAGAACCGCUCUGUGUAACGGCCACAACCACAUUUAGUUUCUGUGGGAAUUUCACUGUGCUUAAUGGAUGACUGCAUCAGAGUAUUAUCCAGGAGCUCCAGUAAUCAAAAUGAUUUUAAUCACUGAAAUUAGUAUCUGUGCUUUUCCCAAGAUAACACUAUCAUCCAAAUGGUUCUCUUUAAUACAUAAAUUACACAUAUUUUUCUACAGAAUGUGCCAAGCUCGCAGAACAGGAGGAAACAUGGCAGCCCGACACCUUUGAGGGAUAUAAAUGAGCACAGUGAAGAAGAAAGACCACAAAACCUCACUUCAUCAUAACACAAUAAAUACAGGAUUUACAACAACACACAGAAACAUCCUGUCACACAUGUUAAUGAGACAUUAAUGACCAGAUGAAAUCAUUCAGACUGAUGAUCAUCUGUUACCAUUAAAGCUCCACAAAAGUCCAGAGUUGUCUUUUCACUUCCCCUUUCUCUCUCUCUCUCUCUCUCUCUCUCUCUCUCUCUCUCUCUCUCUCUCUCUCUCUCUCUCUGUAUGAGUCAUGGUGAUGAAAGUUGUCCUUCCUCUUCUUGUGACGGUUUCAAAGACACCAGCAGAACUUUUUUUUCCUCCACCAUCUAUUUGACAUUCUGUCAGGGAACACACUGAAUCUCACAUCUGUCAUUAUAUCCUGAAUAAUGUGAGUGGAGACAGUCUGAACCAUCAGAGAGGCAUCUUUCUGAUAUGAAUCCUGAGUUUGUUCAUUUUGUCAGUAUUAAUAUCAUCUGCAGAGGACUCACACAUCUGAGUGAUGAUUAUAAAAAAAUACAGCGUUAAUGUUGACAUGCAAAAAUAAACUGUGAGUCACUGACAUAAUGACCUUUUCUUUGUGAGGUCCUAACUCAGUAACAUUCACGGUGUCGUGCACCUUUUCCAGUUCCAGUCAACAGAUACAAACAGAGGAACAGCACUUCUCAACAGGGGGAACAUAUGAUACAUGUUUAAAAAAGACAGUCAUCUUGGCUCUGAAAAUCAAUUUGUUUGUACCGUCUGUACCAGGACAUCAGCUCGUACAACAUGUCAUGAUUUUAUUUAUGUAUUCACUUUUUGUUCUAUCCAAACAAAUAGAACAGACCGUGGAUAAUUACCAUUCACACCAUGUUUGUUCUGUUCUCAUGUCCUCUGACCACCAGCUCAUGUGUCAGAGUUUUGUUUAGUUUCCUGAGGCUGAUUCGGAGGAAAAGAACUUGUUGUAGAGUUUUAGUGUCUACAACCUUCAAACUACAGAGUCAGUGGAAGUGGAGAGCGGCUGUAAACACACAGCAGGCCGUCAGGAGCAGAUCAGAUGGGGAACAGGUUUCAAAGUGUGUCACCACGAAAACUCAAAUGAAUUUCACCUCCAGACUGUGUCUCCUUCAUCAGCCCCAGAAGACCAAACUCUGACUCUGGCAGAUUCUUCCUCCUCUGCUUGUUGACAUUCUUCACCUUCCCACUCUCCACUCUUCCUCCCUCCAAAUGAUAUUUUGUUGUUACAAAAUCACAUUAUUCAAAUGUCUUCAUAAAUAUUUAUGACGAGGUAUGAGGGAGGCCGGUGGAGGUUUUCUGCUUCCACCUUUCUGCUUGUUGUAAUUAUCCCACUGAAUGUGAGCGAUGCAGAGAGAGAAGGUGAGAGAUAUUUUUAACGAUUCAUCUGAAAGGAAAACUGUUCACCCACAUUGAUCGACCAGAUAACCCUCCAGAAUCUACCCUGAAUUUUACCGUCUCCUCUGUCUGACAUGUUUACCGCUGAUUCAUAUUUGUUUGUGCUCCUGCUGCUCUCUCCUGCUGUCUCAUGUCUGUGAUGUUGGACAGGAUCAGUCAUGUCUCACCUGUCCAUCAGCCUCCUGACCACCUGUUACAGCACCCGCCUCCCCAGCUGCACCUGAUUGGCUUGUCAGACUGCCAGUCCUAACUCUUCCUUCAGCACGUCGUCACAUUCUUUCAAUUUACUGUUCAGCUCACUGUGUCCUGUCUGCCUGCUGCUUCUCUCAUCCUCAGAUGGAGUUUAUUCUUCUACAGUCAGAUCAAAUCAACUGAUCUUGAAUUGACAACAACAACUUCAGCAGUUUCAGAAGCCACAUCAGAGUCAGAGAGCACAGACACCUUCAGUUUAUUCCUUUGGGGUUUAAAGAGUUUGUGCAGAGCAGCUCACCUGAAUCAGCACUCAGUGUGAACAGAAUGAGCAGAAUGAAACUUUAAAAUCCUUGUUUUAUUCUCCCUGACAGAAAUCUAAGAGGACUGAAUAAUGAUUAGAAUCGUGUUCUUCUGCAUCUGAUCCUCAUGAGUCUCCUCACACAGAUCAGCAGGCUGAGCUGUCACCAUGUUAAUAAGAGCAGUGGGUGUGUGAUUCCAUCACCCGAACACACACAGUGUGUGCUGCUCUACAACUGAUGGAGACAGACUCACACUGCUGCACUGACUCACACAUCAGCGUGUUCUGGUCCAUGUCGCUGUGUGUGUGUGUGUCUCAGUGGGACAGAAGAAUCUCAGCAGAGGCAGAAACCUGCAGGAAGUUUUGUAAAGUCAAGAAGACUCGACUUUAUGAAUACAGCCCAAAAUCACAGUCACAUUGCCUGAAGCUUUGUGUUCUUCUAGGCAGGAUGCCAACAACGUUGGUCUUUGUCUGUCAGUCAGAGAGCUGUAACACAACUCUCAGCCAGUCUCUCUCCUACAGCACAGAGUCCCAUCCACAGUGCCAGGGUGUCAUUGUAAACCUUUAUCAUUGUGCCCUCUCCACUCUCGUAUCUCACCUCUGGGACAGAUUGUUGCUCUUGGCUCGCUCCCUGUUCCCAGCGUGGCCUUUACUAAGACAGACAGAAUUUAAUUUCACCUCUGACUGUGCACAGCCUUCAGCAUCCAGAAGAGCAUCUCUUGUUUUCAGUCAUAAGAAAGAUCAUAACACCGUCCAGAGGUCAAUGCACAGCAAAGCUGCAACUUCCAGGGAGCUGUGUGCAUGUGACUGUGUCUCUGACCUCAGUGAAUAUUACAUCUAUUAACAACCAUGUCAUCAAUGAACAACAAGCAGCUACAUAAAGCUGUUGGACAGAACUCAUCCUCUGAGCCAGACAACUUGUUCCAGCUCAUCUAAGAGGAAACCAGUCUUGUGCCAAGAGAGCAGAGCCAGAAUCAGCUUCAGUCCACAUCAAAAAUAAAUCACUGCAGAGAGGCGGAGCUGUUUAUAAUACCAGGUUAUUAUUCAUUCAGCUGUCCAUCACAGUCAAGCGGUUCAGAUGGAGGUCUGAAUUAGAGCUUUUAGUAUGAAGCUGUUCAGCUCUACAGAGUGGAGGAAACGACAGAAGAGCAGCUCCACAAUCAGACAUCCCAACAUCUAUCCAUGGAGCGACGCUGCACAUCAGAAAAGAAUCAGAUCACUGCCCCGACAGUAAGUGACACUGAGCUGAGGCAGGAGCAUUAAACCAGGCCGAUGCAGGCGUGGUGCACAUCGGACAGACGGAUGGAUCGGACCGAGGCGGCACUUCCUGUCCUCUCCUUCCUGACAGCAGCCGGAUGGUUUUCAAACGGAGCUGUGAGGAUUUAGAUCUUAUUAGGAUGUCACAGUGACUGACAGCCAGUGAAGUGGCUGGAAAUCACUCAGUUUACCAACAGGUGACAAAGUGACAACCCACAGAAUGAACACUCUGGGUUAAAUAAUUCAGCUGUGCAUCACUUCUGCAGCCUUCAUGACGAAACGUGUCAGUCAUCUGUCAAACCACAUCAAGUGUCCACAGAUGUGUUACAGUUUAAAUUCACCUCAGAAUGAAGAUUCAACAGUUCUGGUCUGAAGGGGUGACCCCUAUCAAAUGAGCCUGACCCCGACCCAGAGCCAAGAGGAGGAGAGAGCAUCUGUACAGUGACAUCAACCUUUCAUCACUGUCUCAUCAGAGAACAGUCAGUGGAGCCCUGAUCUCCAGGUGCAACGUCUCUCUUAAUGUCCUGUGAUAAUAAGUCAGUGUGACGGUGGCUGGUGAGCAGAACAGCUCACCUGGAGGGAACAUUUACUCAGAGGUGGACUUGAGAAAGACAGAGUGUGAAAGAGAGAAACUAGAGAAGGAGACAGUCAGGGAGACAUGUUUAACCCUCAGGGCUCCAUCUGUGUGUCUACAUGGUGUGUGAUGGCCUCAGGAGAGGCAGCUGCUGUGUCAGUGAUAGAAAUGUGAAGCGUUUGGUUAAACUGUGGUAACCUCCACCCUCUAUCAUAGUGUGUGUUACAAUAUAAUGUCCCCACACUCACUGUUGUUACUUUGACAAGUGUCAGCAGACACAGAGCUACAUCUCACAUGUUCAGUGGUUUCUGAACUGUUGAUGUCAUCAGUGGACAUCAUCUGUCAGUGAUACAACAGACUGGAUCUGAUACAGAGCGUCCAUCAGGACAUGAACAUGGACAGUGUUUGCAGACAUCCAGUGAAAUCUCUGGAGGUGUCUUUGGAAUUAGCAGUCUGUUCUUCACUGGACUGAAGUGCACGACACUUCAGCUGGAAGAGCUUUCAAGUUCCUCUUCAAGGCAAACAUGCAGGUGUGAAGACCAGAGGAGUCGAUCUUUAAACAAAAAAAGAAACUCUUUAAUGUUCAGUUCUCUUAGAGGUGCUGACUUGAAAUAACUUAGAAAUGCAUCAACCUAAGAAUGACUUCUCUGCAGCGAUAUCACACUCUCAACAUCUUUUUUUUUUUUUCUUCCCCACUAAAACUAACUUUCCAGUCAAUCUACAGCAUCUGUACCAUUUUUUUAAACCAUCUAUACAUGUGAUCACAUAGAAAGACUUCCACCAGCUCAUCUCUACUUUAGUUCUUUCUUGUGCUGAAAUGAUCUGAUUGAAUCAUGUAAUCACACAGUAUAUAAGUUCUGCUGCUUUGAGUCUCUUGAUGAAAUCAGAGGACAGAAGUUGUGUGGGUUUAUGGGAGUUGUUGUCUUCACUGUCAAACAGUCACCACUGCUGAUUAAAACCAAGCAGAAAUGUUCCCAGUCUGUUUUAAAGGUUUAAUACAUUAUGUCUGGUCACGUCGGCCUACAGGAGGACAGCAGAGGGUAAAGAGAAGUUCAAACAGUGUCUGAUUGAUUAAAAUGACAUUUGAUCUGUCAGAUGUGGUGCUGUGGGGAGGUUUUAAAUCCUCUUCUCAAACACUGUUUAUAAUGGGCAUGAUUAAUAAUCCUAAUAUAACCAACAGACCUCUGAAAUGACAUUUUAAAUGACUCAUCUGCUCUACAUGUCAAAUAGAACAGUGACAGAGGUGAAGUUCAGGUGUUUAGUAUGUAAAAUACACACAAGAGAGUAUUUUUACACAUUUAAUUGUUUUGUUUUUUACGUGUCUACAGAUAUCCAGCCGAUCACAAUCAUCACUGAAUUACUGUAACUGAUGGACACUAUUGUUUUGUUCAUUGCUUCUGCUGUAAUAAGUUUAAAGAAACCUUUUUUUUCUGAUUUUCUGAAGUCUGCUCUAAAUUGUAUUCUCUCCUGUGUUUAUGACAAGGAGCCUCAGGAAGGUCGUGGUAAGACUGUUGCCAAGGAAAAUGGCACUGGUGAGUUAGUGAGGACAGAAUGUGCUCCUGACCUUCAGUCUUCAUCUGAACGGGGAAAACCUUCACUCAGCAGACUGCUGGAGGUGUUUUUGUUCUUUCCUGCAGUCAAACAUGAAGUGUUAAUCCCAGCGGGAGCUCUGCUCCAGAGAUCAGAAGGAGACAAACACUGAAUACAGUAGAACUUCUGCUCUGAUCUCACUGUACUGUGAUCACAGACACAUUGCUGUGCUGAUGACUGCAGGCUGAAAUACUGAACAGCACUAAAACCUUUAGUGAUAGAACAUGUCCUGAAAAAAUAAUAGUAUAAAUGUCAUGUCAACAUCUUUCAGUGUUCCAGUUUUAAUUAAAGUGGCAACAGACAGUUCUGUUAUUAAAGCUUCAUAAAAAGUUCUCAUUGGUUUCUGUCAGACAUCGCUCCACAUGAGUCCUCAAACUCAAAGACAUGCAGUGACAGCAACGUUUGUUUCAUCUCAUCAACAUCCUGUAUUUCAGUUCGGCUGUGACGUCAGAUCAGCAGAGGAAAAGUUGGCCAUCUGAACCUCCUGCAGAGAGCGAGGCACAUUUUUGUGUGAAGUUAGUGGAAUAAAUGUUUCUGGGAGGAGUCCCACCGGUCGACACUGGAAGACUGGCUGCUCAAGAAUGAGAGCAAUGAAAAGAGAGCCGGGUGCUGUAAAAGAAGAGUGGGUGCUCUGCUGGGAGAGUGGGUGGUGAGUGUGUGAUGCUGAGAGUGCUGCCUUGAACCAGUGCUACAGCCACUGAGGCCAUUUCAAGUGUUUCUCAGUAGAAAUACAGUUUCUUGUGACCAGUGCAGACGUCUCCAGUGUGGCUGUAAAUUCCAUCUGUUCUAUA